GAAUAGGGCGUUUAGUAUUUGGUCGUAGACCCGAAACCAGGUGAUCUACCCUUGGUCAGGUUGAAGUUCAGGUAACACUGAAUGGAGGACCGAACCGACUUACGUUGAAAAGUGAGCGGAUGAACUGAGGGUAGCGGAGAAAUUCCAAUCGAACCUGGAGAUAGCUGGUUCUCUCCGAAAUAGCUUUAGGGCUAGCCUCAAGUGAUGAUUAUUGGAGGUAGAGCACUGUUUGGACGAGGGGCCCCUCUCGGGUUACCGAAUUCAGACAAACUCCGAAUGCCAAUUAAUUUAACUUGGGAGUCAGAACAUGGGUGAUAAGGUCCGUGUUCGAAAGGGAAACAGCCCAGACCACCAGCUAAGGUCCCAAAAUAUAUGUUAAGUGGAAAAGGAUGUGGCGUUGCCCAGACAACUAGGAUGUUGGCUUAGAAGCAGCCAUCAUUUAAAGAGUGCGUAAUAGCUCACUAGUCGAGUGACACUGCGCCGAAAAUGUACCGGGGCUAAACAUAUUACCGAAGCUGUGGAUUGUCCUUUGGACAAUGGUAGGAGAGCGUUCUAAGGGCGUUGAAGCAUGAUCGUAAGGACAUGUGGAGCGCUUAGAAGUGAGAAUGCCGGUGUGAGUAGCGAAAGACGGGUGAGAAUCCCGUCCACCGAUUGACUAAGGUUUCCAGAGGAAGGCUCGUCCGCUCUGGGUUAGUCGGGUCCUAAGCUGAGGCCGACAGGCGUAGGCGAUGGAUAACAGGUUGAUAUUCCUGUACCACCUAUAAUCGUUUUAAUCGAUGGGGGGACGCAGUAGGAUAGGCGAAGCGUGCGAUUGGAUUGCACGUCUAAGCAGUAAGGCUGAGUAUUAGGCAAAUCCGGUACUCGUUAAGGCUGAGCUGUGAUGGGGAGAAGACAUUGUGUCUUCGAGUCGUUGAUUUCACACUGCCGAGAAAAGCCUCUAGAUAGAAAAUAGGUGCCCGUACCGCAAACCGACACAGGUAGUCAAGAUGAGAAUUCUAAGGUGAGCGAGCGAACUCUCGUUAAGGAACUCGGCAAAAUGACCCCGUAACUUCGGGAGAAGGGGUGCUCUUUAGGGUUAACGCCCAGAAGAGCCGCAGUGAAUAGGCCCAAGCGACUGUUUAUCAAAAACACAGGUCUCUGCUAAACCGUAAGGUGAUGUAUAGGGGCUGACGCCUGCCCGGUGCUGGAAGGUUAAGAGGAGUGGUUAGCUUCUGCGAAGCUACGAAUCGAAGCCCCAGUAAACGGCGGCCGUAACUAUAACGGUCCUAAGGUAGCGAAAUUCCUUGUCGGGUAAGUUCCGACCCGCACGAAAGGCGUAACGAUUUGGGCACUGUCUCAACGAGAGACUCGGUGAAAUCAUAGUACCUGUGAAGAUGCAGGUUACCCGCGACAGGACGGAAAGACCCCGUGGAGCUUUACUGUAGCCUGAUAUUGAAAUUCGGCACAGCUUGUACAGGAUAGGUAGGAGCCUUUGAAACGUGAGCGCUAGCUUACGUGGAGGCGCUGGUGGGAUACUACCCUAGCUGUGUUGGCUUUCUAACCCGCACCACUUAUCGUGGUGGGAGACAGUGUCAGGCGGGCAGUUUGACUGGGGCGGUCGCCUCCUAAAAGGUAACGGAGGCGCUCAAAGGUUCCCUCAGAAUGGUUGGAAAUCAUUCAUAGAGUGUAAAGGCAUAAGGGAGCUUGACUGCGAGACCUACAAGUCGAGCAGGGUCGAAAGACGGACUUAGUGAUCCGGUGGUUCCGCAUGGAAGGGCCAUCGCUCAACGGAUAAAAGCUACCCCGGGGAUAACAGGCUUAUCUCCCCCAAGAGUUCACAUCGACGGGGAGGUUUGGCACCUCGAUGUCGGCUCAUCGCAUCCUGGGGCUGUAGUCGGUCCCAAGGGUUGGGCUGUUCGCCCAUUAAAGCGGUACGCGAGCUGGGUUCAGAACGUCGUGAGACAGUUCGGUCCCUAUCCGUCGUGGGCGUAGGAAAUUUGAGAGGAGCUGUCCUUAGUACGAGAGGACCGGGAUGGACAUACCUCUGGUGUACCAGUUGUCGUGCCAACGGCAUAGCUGGGUAGCUAUGUGUGGACGGGAUAAGUGCUGAAAGCAUCUAAGCAUGAAGCCCCCCUCAAGAUGAGAUUUCCCAACUUCGGUUAUAAGAUCCCUCAAAGAUGAUGAGGUUAAUAGGUUC
rnacentral:rRNA from 1 species